rnacentral:lncRNA from 1 species
GCCACCCACCAACCCCAACACCAGCCAAUGGCGGCCAUGGCGUCCAGGGCCGCCGCGGCCACCGCGUCGCUCGACCUCGCCGCCGCGCCGGCCCUCUCGCGCCGCUGCCACCGCCCGACCUCGGCGCGCCCAUCCGCCGCCGCCGCCGCCGCCCGCGGACUGCGGAUGCGCGGGGCGGCGCGGGUGGUGGUGGCGGCCGCGGCGGCGGCGGCGGCACCGGCGAAGGCCGGCGCGGAGGAGGUCGUGCUGCAGCCCAUCAGGGAGAUCUCCGGCACCGUCAAGCUGCCCGGGUCCAAGUCGCUCUCCAACCGGAUCCUCCUGCUCUCCGC